AAGACUAUAGACCUGCGGAGUACCUGCGGAGGGAUCAUUACCGAGUUAGGGUAGUCACUCACUGCCCGACCUCCCAACCCUGUGUCUACCACACUUUGUCGUUGCUUCGGCGGACCGGUUGACCAACUGGUCGUGACCGCCGGGGGCUGGCUCUGUCCCCCCUGGAGAACGUCCGUCGAUGGCCCAACCACAAAACUCUUGUACCGAAACGUGUCGUCUGAAUUAUAUUUGAGAAAUCAA
rnacentral:misc_RNA from 1 species